UUACAGAGAUGAGCAUCUGGAUGUCAUUGCAGAAGCUACAGAAAUGCAGGUCCUUGAACAAAGCUUACAUGACAGGAGCAUUGUUGAGGAGGACAUGGAGGAAAAUGCUUUCAACGACCGUUUCUUUCACAUGAAGAUCCUCUGGAUGAGCCUACUCCCUGUGAUCAGGCACCUGUUUUCCCAGCCCCACAGCGUGUCCUUUGUGAAGAUGACAUCAUAGGUGCCAGAGCUUCAAUAGUAUAUGAGGACUGCUUGAGACAACUGGCUACACUUAUGACCCUGCCUGCGGAUAAUGUUCAAGCCAUUUGAAGACUGAUGUGUUGUGCAACUGCGUUGCCCCCUUUGAGAUCAAAAUCACUUCUUAGGGCACAGCAUUGAGUAUUGUAUGGAUCUGUCCUAAUGGACAUAGAGCGUGGAGGUGGAAUUCCCUGCCUAUAAUGAAUUUUGGGAUGCAAGCUGGAGAUUUUCUCUUGUCCACUAACAUUUCGUUGUCUGGCAACAACUAUGCAAAGGUUGCCCUCCUUCAGAUUUAUGAACAUCGGAAUGGGGAACAAGAACACCUUCUUCAGGACACAUACUGUGUCGACAAAGUGAAGGACUACUGGGAAGAGAAGAGGGCUGAGGCCCUCAGUUGCCUUCAAGGGAAAGAUGUUGUGGUCUUAGCGAAUGGAAGAAAUGACUCUCCAGGCCAUUGCACACAGUACUGCAGCUACACCACCAUGGAGAAUGAAACUAAGGAGAUAAUUCAUGUUCCCACCAUAGACAAGCAGCAGACAUCAUGGAACUCUGUCAUCAUGGAGAAGGAGGGUUUUAUCCAGACUGUUGACAAACUGACAUCACAGAUAAAGCUAGUGGAGAUCUGUACAGAUGCUCAUGCCCAGAUUGGAGCACUUAUGAAUAAGUACUCAUCUGAUAUAAUGUAUGAAUACAUGUGGUGAAAAGAUUAUUGAAAUAUUGUAGUAAAAUUACAUUGUUCCACACUUCACAGACCAAGACAAAAGCAGAUACAAGGACCUCAGAAUUCAUCACAGUCUGGACAUGUGGCAUGGUGCCAAGAACCUGGCCAAAAAAAUAGCUGGAAACCCCGGGUUUCAGGCCAAGCCUUCACAGUCCUUUGCAGUCCUGUUGGUGUCCUUCCCCAGCUAUUGCUG